GGGUCAAUGGGCGGUCACUAAGGCCCAUGAUCCAGGCUGAUAGACUUUCAUUGCACUUUAAAGGGUGCUAGCCUAAGGUCGACCUCAGUGGUCGAACCUA
rnacentral:snRNA from 1 species